rnacentral:rRNA from 1 species
CGGGGUGCACCAGGCGCGAAAACUUUACAAUGCCGGCAACGGCGAUAAGGGAACCUCGAGUGCCAGGUUACAAAUCUGGCUGUCGUGAUGCCUAAAAAGCAUUGCAUAGCAAGGGCCGGGCAAGACCGGUGCCAGCCGCCGCGGUAACACCGGCGGCUCGAGUGGUAACCGUUAUUAUUGGGUCUAAAGGGUCUGUAGCCGGCCGGAUAAGUCUCUUGGGAAAUCUGGCGGCUUAACUGUCAGGCUUUCAGGAGAUACUGUCUGGCUCGAGGCCGGGAGAGGUGAGAGGUACUUCAGGGGUAGGGGUGAAAUCUUGUAAUCCUUGAAGGACCACCAGUGGCGAAGGCGUCUCACCAGAACGGACCUGACGGCAAGGGACGAAAGCUAGGGGCACGAACCGGAUUAGAUACCCGGGUAGUCCUAGCCGUAAACGAUACUCGCUAGGUGUCGGCCACGGUGCGACCGUGGUCGGUGCCGUAGGGAAGCCGCGAAGCGAGCCACCUGGGAAGUACGGCCGCAAGGCUGAAACUUAAAGGAAUUGGCGGGGGAGCAC